rnacentral:lncRNA from 1 species
AACUCUCUCUCUCUCUCCCACAAAUCCUAAAAAGUAAAAACUAAUUCUUAGCUACAUUCUCAAAUCCCCGUCUUCAAUUUUCUCAAACAUGUCUUAUUAUUCCUAUUCUUCACCACCACCUCCUCCACCAAAAUAUCCAUACUAUUCUCCUCCUCCGCCACCUCCUGACUGCGACAUGAUGAAAAAAUCUCCUCCUCCACCUCCACCACCUCCACCUCCACCUCCUCCACCUCCUCCUCCUCCUCCUCC